GUAGGUGGCAAGCGUUGUCCGGAAUUAUUGGGCGUAAAGCGCGCGCAGGCGGUUCUUUAAGUCUGAUGUGAAAGCCCACGGCUCAACCGUGGAGGGUCAUUGGAAACUGGAGAACUUGAGUACAGAAGAGGAAAGCGGAAUUCCACGUGUAGCGGUGAAAUGCGUAGAGAUGUGGAGGAACACCAGUGGCGAAGGCGGCUUUCUGGUCUGUAACUGACGCUGAGGCGCGAAAGCGUGGGGAGCAAACAGGAUUAGAUACCCUGGUGGUCCACGCCGUAAACGAUGAGUGCUAAGUGUUAGGGGGUUUCCGCCCCCCUUAGUGCUGCAGCUAACGCAUUAAGCACUCCGCCUGGGAGUACGGCCGCAAGGCUG
rnacentral:rRNA from 1 species